UGGGGAAUAUUGGGCAAUGGAGGAAACUCUGAUGCAGCGAUGCCGCGUGAGUGAAGAAGGCCUUUGGGUUGUAAAGCUCUUUUGUAGGGGAAGAUAAUGACUGUACCCUAAGAAUAAGGUCCGGCUAACUUCGUG
rnacentral:rRNA from 1 species